rnacentral:tRNA from 1 species
GCCGGGGUGGCCGAGCGGUCUAAGGCGGCGGGCUGCAGGGAAACCCGCUUUAUCGCGGGUUCGAAUCCCGCCCCCGGCUCCA